rnacentral:snoRNA from 1 species
UUGGAACUCUGUGGUCGUUUAGAAAUCUUGUAUUUUUGAAUGAUAGCGAGUUCCUAGUCUUCUCACUGCUGCAUCUGAAAACCUUUUUACGAAUUGAUGUUGGUUGUUCUGUAUACCCUAUUCGAGAAUCUUGUUGAGCCUCUCGCAUGUGAUUCGAUGCGACAGAACAAACGACCUGGUUUUGGUGGAGUUUAUGCUUUGUCAAGAUCACAGCCAACUUUAAAACCAUCGCUGUUAGAGGUUUCUUCUGCUUUUACGGGUGGUCAAGAGAUCCAUGAAAUAGUGAUGACCUGAGGAAUGGCACAUGU